GAAUUCGGCAAAAAUAAUAUUCGCCUGUUUAACAAAAACAUGUCUUUUUGAAUUAAAUUUAAGGUCUAACCUGCCCACUGAAAAUUUUUAAUGGCCGCAGUAUUUUGACUGUGCAAAGGUAGCAUAAUCAUUAGUCUUUUAAUUGAAGGCUGGAAUGAAUGGUUGGACGAGAUAUUAACUGUUUCAUUUAAUUUUAAAAUAGAAUUUUAUUUUUUAGUCAAAAAGCUAAAAUAAUUUUAAAAGACGAGAAGACCCUAUAAAUCUUUAUAUUUUUUUUAUUUUAAUUGUAAAGAUUAAUUUUAUUUUAAUAAAUUAAAAUAUUUUAUUGGGGUGAUAUUAAAAUUUAAAAACUUUUAAUUUUUAAAAACAUUAAUUUAUGAAUAAAUCAUCCAUUAAUAAUGAUUAAAAAAUUAAGUUACUUUAGGGAUAACAGCGUAAUUUUUUUGGAGAGUUCAUAUCGAUAAAAAAGAUUGCGACCUCGAUGUUGGAUUAAGAUAUAAUUUUGGGUGUAGCCGUUCAAAUUUUAAGUCUGUUCGACUUUUAAAUUCUUACAUGAUCUGAGUUCCAACCGGUGUAAGCCAGGUUGGUUUCUAUCUUUAAAAAAUUAUAAUAUUUUAGUACGAAAGGACCAAAUAUUAGAAUAAUUAUAUUUUUAAAAAAGAAUAUUAUUAAUAUAAAAUAAGCUAUUUUGGCAGAUUAGUGCAAUAAAUUUAGAAUUUAUUUAUGUAAUUUUUUUUACAAAUAGUACUUGUUUUAUAUAGAAUUUAUUUUAUCAUUAAUUGGAAGUUUAUUAUUAAUUAUUUGUGUAUUAGUGAGUGUAGCUUUUUUAACUUUAUUAGAACGUAAAGUAUUAGGAUAUAUUCAAAUUCGAAAGGGGCCAAAUAAAGUAGGUUUUAUAGGAAUUC
rnacentral:rRNA from 1 species